GGGCUACACACGUGCUACAAUGGCCGGCACAAUGAGCUGCCAACCCGCAAGGGCGAGCGAAUCUCUAAAGCCGGUCCCAGUUCGGAUUGGAGGCUGCAACCCGCCUCCAUGAAGUCGGAGUUGCUAGUAAUCGCGGAUCAGCACGCCGCGGUGAAUGCGUUCCCGGGCCUUGUACACACCGCCCGUCACACCACCCGAGUCGAUUGCACCCGAAGUCGUCGGCCUAACCUUUUAGGAGGGAGACGCCGAAGGUGUGGUUGGUAAGGGGGGUGAAGUCGUAACAAGGUAGCCGUACCGGAAGGUGCGGCUGGAUCACCUCCUUUCUAGGGAGA
rnacentral:rRNA from 1 species